GCCUCGGUGGUGUAGUGGUAGUAGCACGCGUCCAGGGUAUGGAUGAAGCGAGGGGUUCGAUUCCCGCCUGAGGCC